AAUAAACGUAAAUUUCUUCUUAUUAGAAUAUGUGGUGCAAAAUGUAAACCGAAUAGAAGCAGAAAAUAUUCAGCUUAAUAAGUGGCAAAUGUGCAAUGUGAAAGACAGUUUUAAAAAUUGUGUGUGUGUGCGUGCGUGUGUGUGUGCAUGUUUGUGUUUGUAGUAUGCGUGUGUGGCUGUGUAAGUAAAUGUAAAUACCACGAAAAUCGCUGAACGCCGAAAAUAAAGCAGCAGAAAUCAACGAAGACGAAGACGUCGCCAUCGUCGUCGUCGCCGUCGUCGACGCUAUCAACGAGGCAGCCACUCGCCAAAAAGCAAAGGCAAUACAAGAAAAAGCAGGUGAAGCACAGUCGCAGAGGCAACGCCGAGACGCAUGUACGCUCCAUGUUCCACGCUGGCUGCUCGCCGAAGUCGUCUAAAAGCGCCAGCGAUCGUGUGAGUCGUACGUAUACUUAAUAUUUUGUGGAAGUAGCGCCAACGCCAACGUCAGCGUCAGCGACAACGCAACAACACUCCAAAUGUCCAACUACAACAUGUCAACUUCAAAGCAACAACAAAAA